UGGUCAGUUGAGGUCAGCUGUCCUGGCUGUGCUCUUUCUUAGCUUCCCAUGCAUUCCCAGUCUCCUCACCAGCAUGAAAAGCAGAAAAGGCCUUGGCUCUGUGUAAGCCCUGCUCAGUAGCAACAAAAACAUCUCUGUAUUAUCAACUCAGUGUUCAACAAAAAUCCAAAACUGAGCUCCAUGCUAGUCACUAUGAGGAAAAUUAACUCUACUGCAGCCAAGACCAGCACAAGGUGCCUGAAGUCUCUGAAGCAUUGUAAAGUAAAAGCUGGGAUUAUGAAAAUUACUUACAUCCUUGACCCGGUUUGUUGUGUUCAGUGCCAACAGUGCAACUUCAUUGGCUUCUUCGAUAUAACCAGCAAUGUUUUCAUACACAUUUGAAGCAUUGAUUGCCCUUUGUACCAAGCCAUUCGAAUCAACACCAUACAAAUUCCUGUUAAAAAGAGAGCAAAAGCUGUUCAGUAAGUGGCACUUGUGUGAACAGACUCUGCUUAAAUUUUACCCAUCCAGCUCAUCAGCAAGUCUUCUUAGGUUUUGUGCAUGAUGCAUAGCCUUUUCUACCAGUUCAUCAUCAAACAGGGACAGGUUGGCUAUUUUUUCUUGCAGUUCCUUUUUUGCUCCAUCUAUUUC